rnacentral:rRNA from 1 species
CUACGGGGGGCACCAGUGGGGAAUAUUGGACAAUGGGCGCAAGCCUGAUCCAGCAAUGCCGCGUGUGUGAAGAAGGCCUGCGGGUUGUAAAGCACUUUCAAUUGGGAGGAAAAGCGGUCGGUUAAUACCCGGCCGACUUGACGUUACCUUUAGAAGAAGCACCGGCUAACUCCGUGCCAGCAGCCGCGGUAAUACGGAGAGUGCAAGCGUUAAUCGGAAUUACUGGGCGUAAAGCGCGCGUAGGUGGCUAGAUAAGUCGGAUGUGAAAGCCCUGGGCUCAACCUGGGAAUGGCAUUCGAUACUGUCUGGCUAGAGUCUGGUAGAGGGAAGUGGAAUUCCAGGUGUAGCGGUGAUAUGCGUAGAUAUCUGGAGGAACACCAGUGGCGAAGGCGACUUCCUGGACCAAGACUGACACUGAGGUGCGAAAGCGUGGGUAGCAAACAGGAUUAGAUACCCCGGUAGUC